rnacentral:misc_RNA from 1 species
AAGGCUAUCCCCUUUGGUACUUUAUGCCGUAAGCAGGGAAAGUAGAUAUGCCGAACCAUCCACUUAUGAACAGGCAUAUUCCACAUUCUCCAAUACUCAUCGACUGUUCUUGCAUUCCACCAAUCUUUAUAGAACUCUCGAUCACCAAAGCGAAGGAGCUCAGCAAGUAUAUUUAACCAUAGAUGAAAAAAGCAGUAGAACAUGCAGAGCCACACAUAUAAAUUUGGAACUGAAAGCUUCAAAACCCUCUCUAUAGCAUAUAAGAGAUCCCCCUUUAAAGGAUGUUGUGAAUUCUGGACAAUAGGAUUGAUAUAUUGUUCUAUGAUAAAUCCCAUGAAUCCUGUAAAUAUUA